rnacentral:rRNA from 1 species
UACGGAGGGAGCAAGCGUUGUUCGGAUUUACUGGGCGUAAAGGGCGCGUAGGCGGUCAGCACAGGUCAGUUGUGAAAUCUCCGGGCUUAACUCGGAAAGGUCAACUGAUACUGUGCGACUAGAGUGCGGAAGGGGCAACUGGAAUUCUCGGUGUAGCGGUGAAAUGCGUAGAUAUCGAGAGGAACACCUGCGGCGAAGGCGGGUUGCUGGGCCGACACUGACGCUGAUGCGCGAAAGCCAGGGGAGCGAACGGG